rnacentral:rRNA from 1 species
UGGGGAAUAUUGCGCAAUGCCCGCAAGGGUGACGCAGCGACGCCGCGUGGGUGAAGAAGCUCUACGGAGUGUAAAGCCCUGUCAGAGGGGAAGAACGGUCUGGAUUCGUAAGGGUUCAGAUGUGACGGUACCCUCAGAGGAAGCUCCGGCUAACUCCGUGCCAGCAGCCGCGGUAAUACGGGGGGAGCAAGCGUUGUCCGGAAUCACUGGGCGUAAAGGGCGUGUAGGCGGGCGACCGAGUCAGAUGUAAAAGGCGACGGCUUAACCGUAGUAUGUCAUCUGAUACUGGUUGUCUUGAGUUCGAGAGAGGGUGGUGGAAUUCCCGGUGUAGCGGUGAAAUGCGUAGAUAUCGGGAAGAACACCGGAAGCGAAGGCGGCCACCUGGAUCGAUACUGACGCUGAGGCGCGAAAGCGUGGGGAGCAAACAG